rnacentral:lncRNA from 1 species
AUAAAUAAAUUUCUUUCCGUACUCAUAACCAUAUUAAAAUAACCUCUUAUAUCCAGCUUUCAAGUUGCAUCCACGUGCAUACAAAGUUUCAUAUAUUACACCAGUUUCAUCCACGUGGAUACAAAGUUUCAUAUAUUCAUAUACUGCAAUAGUUUCAAUACAACCCAUGGUACAAGAAAUCAUCUUCAAGCAUUCCAUCAAUAUUUUCCAAGCUUCCCGUGAAGUGAAGGUAAUCUGCAAAAUGACAAAUAAGAAAGUUAGAAGAAUAAUA